ensembl:lncRNA USP2-AS1 USP2 antisense RNA 1
GAUAUACACAGAGAACCACGUGGAGGAAAAGCACGCGAGUUUGGAGCGGGUGGAGCAGGAACAGAGGUGGACUGGAAUGUCACACGACGGGGCAGCUGGAAGGGCACCACUGAGUUCAGUACUUCAAAAUUGCCGUGCUCUACCUCUCCCCAGUGCACAAAAACACUCUCCACACCAAGCUGCUGCUGCUGGGGGAUGGAGGGAUGGCGUCAGCGAUUCAAGACUGUUUUUCCUACCUGUUCAGCACUUCUUUCAGCGAUAUGAAGUUAAAUCCAGCUCACAGGUCCCUGAGUGAAGAGGAGCCACCCCUGAGGAGUUGUACCCAAGGAGACUCAGCCACAGCCAGACCUACUGCACAUUUUGAGAUCAUGGUCUUGGAGCCUGAUGUCGUGAUUGGGUGCUUUGGGAAGGGUGGGUGUAUUUUACAAGUGGGAGGACAGAGCAUCUUUAGGAGUAGAGAGCAAACUGUGGUGGAGUGCCACAUUAAUGCCCUCAGCCAGUCAUGCCUCUUUCACACUGACUCUGGCUUGGCCAUAAGACAUGUUUUGGCCAACAGGAGUUCAGCAAACGUGGUGCAAGCGAUUUCCUCAGUGCUUGCCAUCUUAGGCAAGGACCCCGGGGCUCUGUGAGGAAGCUCGAGCUGGUCACAGUGGAGAGACCUGAACAGAAGUGCUGUGGCUACCAUCCCCCGCCCCAAUCUGGGAGCUGCCCAUCACUGAGUGAGCCUUUCCAGGAUCACCCAGUGUCCAGCCCACUUGUCACCUGGCCACACAUGCAGGAGUGAGCCCAGCAAAUCCCGUAUGGAGCUGUUCCCUGACCAAACUGCUGACCCACAGAAAAGCUGCCUUUGGUUACUAGUUGGGGUGAUUUGUUACAGAACAAUAGCUAACUAAGAAACCAGGCGAGGAGAGGGGAGAGGAUCUAAGACAGAGGAGGCAGCGUGAGCAAAGGAACAGAAAUACAGCAAAGCAAAGCAGAGGCAGGAAAAAACAGGCAGUUUUAUUUCUCGUGGCGGUGAAGGCUGAGAGAGGAUGAUGGAGAAAUGGGGAAGAGGCAGUCGAGGAAGUCCUUGUCUGUCUGGACUUGGAUAAUGAGGCAUCAUGACAGGCUUACAGGAAGAGUGUGAAAUGGCUGGAUAGGUGUAUUUUUUAGAAGGAUUACUCUGGGAGGUUGGGUGCAGUGGCUCAUGCCUGUAAUCCCAGCACUUCAAUAGGCUGAGAUGGGCAGAUCACCUGAGGUCAGGAGUUCCAGACCAGCCUGGCCAAUGUGGCAAAACCCCAUCUCUCCUAAAAAUACAAACAUUAGCCAGUUGAGGUGACAGGCGCCUGUAGUCCCAGCUACUCGGGAGGCUGAGACACAAGGAUCACUUGAACCUGGGAGGCGGAGGUUGUAGUUAGCUGAGAUCGCACCACUGCACUCCAGCCUGGGCGACAGAGUGAGACUCUGUCUCAAAAAAAAAAAAAUUUAAAAAAAAAAAA